GCCCGGCCCGCAGCGCGGGGCCCGAGCGGCGGCGCUCGGCCCGGCGGGGUCGCGGCGCGCGCGGAAGCCACUUUGCACGGCCGGCGCAGGGGCGCAAGUUAGUUCCCCCGGCUCCCGGGGGCCUCCGCGGUGCGGGAGAAUAACGCGGACGGAGAGGAGGGGGAGAGGGGAGGCGCCCGAGAGGCCCAAGAGUGGGGAAAAGUGCGGAAAGAAGCAACAGCCGCUCCACCCGGGACCCAAAAAGUGGCCGGCCGGAUCCCGGCCGCCCGCCCGGCGCCGGGGAUGCGGCGGCGGCGGCAGCUAACGGUCCAGGGAGGCGGCAGGGGCGGCAGGAGCCGCUAGGCGGAGAGAGACCAGGGACCAUGCCUGGAGGUGCUUGGGGGACCAUGUGCAGUGCUGGGAUUCAGAUCAGAAGUUGAUCACAUGCAGAGAAACAGGAAGAGCCUCAAAUCGUUCAUUCAGGAAUUUGACGAAGAAAUCUGACCAUCUAGUCGGUGAGCGGCCACGAGGUCUUCUGAUGUCCUGUGAAAUCCAGUAAGUAACAGCUCUAGUCCAUCGGCCGUCUCUGAAUCGACCGGCCAUCUGAUUUUUGAUGCCUUGGCAAAUGAGACAGCAUCCCUGAUUUUUGACCGUCGACGGAGGUCAGAACUCCAGAUUCCUUCUCUCACUUGAGUGAGACAUGAUAUUCCCAGCAUAGCUCUUUCGAUUCCUCUUUGGGAUACCCUAAUAGCAUUCUCAUCCUGUUUGCGUAGGGCCCAGGUCUCUGAGGCAUAUGUUAGUGCAGGAAGAACGGUGGAAUCGAAAAGAUGUGCCCGGAGUAGGAGGUUCUUCGUUCUCUUAACCACCUCUUCAACGCUCUUGAAUGCAUUCCACGCUGCUCUCUUCCUCCUGCGCAGUUCUGGCACCAAGUCGUUCCUCAUGUUGAUUUCUCGACCCAGGUACACAUAGCUGCUGCAUUCGGAGAUGUUCGUUCCAAUGAGAGAAAAUGGAGCUUCAGGGACCAGUUCGUUUUUCAUGAACAUCGUCUUGUUGAGAUUCAGCUGCAAUCCGACCUUUCCACACUCGUUGUCGAAGUUGGCCAGCAUUUAUGCCGCUUGGCUGAUGUGUUAUGAGAACGAUGUCGUCAGCGAAGCGGAGGUGGUGUAAUUGCCGACCGUCUAUCUUCACUCCUAUUCCUUCCCAUUCCAGUCAUUGCAUGAUGUUCUCGAGGGUGGCACUAAAGAGUUUCAGUGAAAUGGUAUCACCCUGACGCACCCCUCUCUUUACAUCAAUGAUCACUUCGUUGUAGAAUGGUGAGAUCCUGGUGGUGAAUCCACAAUACAGCUCUCAGAGGAUUUUGAUAUCAUUGGGCUGCACUAGCAUGCGACAGGGACAAAUGGAGACAUUACUGGCACCCACUCGAGCAAAUCGAAGAUCAAUGGGACUACAAGUGAUACAAAUGAUUAUUUAUACCAUAACCUAUAAAAUUAUAAAUUUAAUUAUUUCCAUUUACAUUAUUGCAUAGUUCCCAAUGAUUGAAGAUGAGUAAGGAGAGGUUGCUAAAAUCUCAGGGCUGAGUGUAAUAGAGACGUUACUGGUGCCUGCUUGAGUAAAUCAACUAACAAUGGGAUGAUAGUGAUACAGUGAUAUUAUUGCAUAUUUAAUACUAAUGUAAGCAUUGACAUCUAUCACUAUAACUAAAUUAAUAUUUAGUACUAAUAUAUUGACAUAUAUUUAUAUACAUAAAUUUAAUAAUUUCAUGUUAAUUAUAAUUAAAAUAGUGUCUUAUAAAUCAUGAAAAUGCUAAAUUAUAUUAUAAUCAUUUAUUAUCUUACAUUUAUUUUGUGUGCAUAUAUAUGCAUAUGCAUAUAUAUAUAUCUACAAAAACUCAGAUAGUGAUAAAUCCCCUGGAAAAAGAAUGUGGGGUGAGUAGCACAGGGUGUUAUUCUUUCAGGUUGGAGACUGUCAGGGAAAAACCACUGACAAGACGACAUUUGAGCAGAGACCAGGAGGGAAAAGAGAGCUGUGCAGAGAGAACAGGGGCAGAACCCAUGACUUAGGGUAUGUGUGGACAGCAAGGGGCACUGAGUGUGGAGUUGAGUGUCACAGGGAAAAGCAUGUAUGUGGCCAGGGCAGGAGCAGUGGGUCCAGACCACACAGCACACUGUGCCUGCCCUUCCCCGAAGGGACCCGAGGAAGGACAGCUUGCUGAGAUCUGCCAUCACCCCAACACUAAGAACAAAACGACACAAAACUUCUAACUGCUGAGCAGAGAAGAGGCUCAGGAGCAGAACCACAUUAAAGCUAGGAGCCUUUCUAACAUUUAGGAAGUUUUUUAAUAAUUCAAGGCAAGAAAUUCUAUCCAAUGCUGCUGAUGGGCCAAAUUAGAUGAGGGUCCCCAUGUUAUAUACUCAUGACAUUUAGCCAAGGAAAGGCCUGUUGACAUGAUCAUGAAAACUUUCAGAAGGGAGAGGAAGAGCAAAGUCUAACUGGAGUGAACUCAGGACAAAAUGGAUGAGGGUAUGCAGACACACUCUCAUGUGGUUCAAAGACAUGAGCCUAAUAAAGGGGGAUUCAGUGUGCUUUCAACCUGGGAGAGAGAGCAGGAUGUCCUUGGGCUUGAAAAGGAUGCAGUAGAGUGUAUAAAAAGGGAUUUGAUGGGAACAAAAGAAUCUAAUUGUUGGAUAGAUGCAAGUGGCUUGGACUUUCUGUUGCAUCAGAGGGAAAAAACUUAGAUUGGUACCAUCAUAGUUGUUCCCACUUCUCAUCGAAAUGGCAGUAUAAAUGAUGGGGGUGAAUUGUGGGGGAAAGGAAAUGGUGGGUAUUUGAGGAAUCCUGGUGGAUUUUGCCAGAAACACGAAGGUAUCACUUAAUAGUAGUAUCUUGAAUUGGAGGUGAAACUUUGGUUAUGUUGGGUUUUUGCUUGUUUCCAGAAAUACCCAACUAUCAGGUUUAAGAAAAAAAAUAGAUGAUGCGAUGAGUUUAACUAGAGGUAGGAUUUUUCUCAGGGGAAAAUCCUACCUGUAGUUAAAAAAGGGAAGAAAGGUCAUGGGAGUUGGGAGUUGCAAAUGAAUGAUUAUAAUUCCAGAUCAUGAGAUCUGAGUGCUGGAAGGAAAGGAUAUUAGUGGGUUGAAAAAUAGUAAAAAAAAAGUCAUGGGAUAAUGAAUUAGAGGAGUUAGAGGAAUAAAAAUCUAUUGAAUUUGGGGAUUAAGAGAUUGUAAACCGAAGUUAUUGAAUAGAUGGUUUGAAGGCAAACUUUGCCUCAUUUGCUUAAAGAAAGGUGUAUUCCAUUCCUAUUGCUGUUGUAACAGAUUAUCGCAGUUUAUUGACUUACCAAAUAUAUGUGUAAUAAUUCAUAAAAGUCAAUAUUUUGGGAGCUGGGGAAGUAGAACCACAAGUAGUGUACUUGCCUUGCAUGUGGCCAACCUGUGUUCCGUCCCCAGCACCACAUAUGGUCUCCUGAGCUUCCUACGCGUGAUGCCUGAGUGCAGAGAGCCUGGAGGAAACCCUGAGCACCAUUAGACUUACUCCUGACUCUUUGCUUAGGAAUCACUCCUGGUGGCGCUCAGGGAAGCAUAUAGGGUGCUGAAAACUGAACCUGGAUCCGCCAUGUGCAAGCUCCUCCCACAGCUGAAGGAAGCCUCCUGAACAUAUUUCCUUGAGGAUCCAGAGGUGGCAAGGUGGUUUGAUCUUCCUGGAAAUGACUGCUUUAUGCUUUUGCAAGGAGGUCAGAAGCCAAGAGGAAGUAUCCCUUCCUUCUUAGAACACAUUGACUCCGGAUCAAAACUCCUCACUUCAAACCCUUGGCUUCAAGUUCGCUGAAAUAAACCUGUCUCAGCCUUCAGCAGACAACUCACCAGGGCAAGAUCGGAGGACAGGAAUCCAAUUUCUUCCACACCUGGGAACCCUGGCUCCAUCGCGCUCUUUGCUAAUCAUCACUGAAAGAAUUCUCCCACACCAUCACCCCCAUUUCCAACAUUCUUAACUUGUAUGCCUAAAUUUUGGAGGUGGUGAUACAAAUAUGAUGUGUACAAUCUGACCUUGGAUUGAAGCUAUAUGUCAAAGAAAAGAAUGCUUAAAAAGAAAUUCAAGGCUUCAAUUUUAACUAUGGGAUGCCGUGGCAGCAACUUUGGUUAAUGUGAAGACCAGGUGAGAAAACGAGCUGUAGAACAUUCGGCAGCUGAGCUUUCGUAAGAGAAAUUGCACAGAUACAUACUCAGAGGAGUUUGGUGAGGACAAAAUACAAACCCACCUUGCUGGCAUACAACAAGGGGUUGUCCUUCUUUCCUGGGCUUCCUAAGUGAGACUGGCUUUAUCCACAUAGAGAAGACAAACAAGGAUAUUUGUUAUUUCAGACAAAAAUGUUAUUUUUGUCUGAAUCACUUGCCUGUGGUGGGAGUGAUUCCCCUGUUGAUUCCCUAAAUCCUAUCCCUCUGGGGCUGCCACCUCUGCUGAGUUUCAGCGUGAAUUCAAGCAAGCACCAUCUCUCGUUUCAAGGGGACAGAGGCAAACUGGAGGAAUUUAGCAAACCUGGCAUGAUGUGGAGACUCAGACCCGUGAGAGAAAUUGCUGGAGAAUCUGCAGAUGUUUCAAUGGGAGAAGACUCAGGGGACACAUGAGCACGGUCUCCAAGCGUUUGAAAGUAAUAGCAUGUGGGAGAGAAAUGAGAGUAUCCGGCAUGGUUUUGGAAGUGGAGACAGAUUCCAGUUUGACAUGGAGAAAAUGUUUAGAAGAGAAAUAAAAAUCUGGGAGGCCACAGAUGUUGUUAGAGCACGUGCUGAAUGGCAGGCAGGUGACCCGAGGUUCCAUCCCCCGAAACAAAAUAAAAGGACAACAAAGAUUAUCCAGGAAAGAUGGUUGAUCAUUUAUGGGGUGAUAAAGGGCUGAUUACCCAGACAAUAGUGAUUCACUCCCUCGGAGCUGUACAUUCAGCAUGAGCAGAAGAGCUGGACGAGGUUCCUCCUGGCUUCUCACCCAGAACAGAGGCUGCAAUUCAGGAGGCUACAUAAAUGCAAGAUUUUGCCCAGGAAGGAGCCCGCGUGGCACUGAAAGGCCCUCGGAAGGGGCGUUGACUGCAGGCGGUGGGCGCGUUUUGUUCCCGGACUCCCGGGCACAAAGUCGCCCUCCAGAUUUCUCCCAAGUGACCAACCCCAAUUUGCAUGCGUGGUGCAAACAUUUUCGGCCCAGCACCGGGGUUCCCAGGCCUGGGAUUGUAAAGGAUUGUCAGCCACCCCUUUCCUCCCUCCCAGGGAGAGCGCCUAAGAGGAUUUAGAAUCAAGUGGGCAUAUUUGCAAGGCCUUGUUCUGAAGAGGCAGCUGCAGCGCGGGCAGCCGGGCCGGGGCGCAGCCCACCGCGGGUCCCCGGGGAACUGCAUUGUCCACCGAGAGGCCUCUACGGGGGGCUCCAUUGUGCGCGGGGCAGGCCUUUCUCUCCUGCCCUCUGUCUCCCCCAAGCCCCUUCCACCCCCUACCCCCUCCCAGUGGACCGUUCUCUCCAGCCGCCCAGAUCCCCCCGCCGCCGCAUUUCCAAUGCAGGGGCAGGCGCGGGCCCGGCUUCAGGCUGGCCAUCUGCACGCCGAGAUUGACAGCAGCCCCGGAAGACUUUCGGUUGAAUGUGCCUUCUGUCCCAGAUACCAGCCGGGAGCCCAGGGGUAGAAGGAAACUAUACUGGGAGCUGAGCGAUGGUACAGCACGUAGGGCGCUUUCCUUGCAAGCGGCAGACGCAGGUUCGAUCCCUGCCGGCACCUCAUACCGUCUCCUGAGAAUCCCAGGAGUGAUUCCUGAGCAUACUGUCAGGAGUAAGCCCUGAGCACGGCUGGGUGUGGCUCAAAAGCCCAGAAAGAAAAGAUUUUUUUCAGCCCUUGAGCCCUCCUCUUUUGUCAGGGCUGAUGACUCUAGAAAGUCUCCAGCAGACCCGAGGCCUUCUGGGGAAAGGAGGUCAAUGUUGAGGCUGGCAGCAUGGAAGCUUCUAAAAGGGCCGUAUAUCACCACCACCACCACCCACCACCACUCUGCUACUCUCUUGCUCAUUCUUCAGACCUAGGGUGAAAUGUUCUUCCCUAGUGUGGAAAAAAAAAAAAAAGCUUCCUGGUUAGAGAUUCAGGAGCUUAUGGCACAAGUAUUGUUUGGUUCCACUCCCAGAAUCACAUGGUCCCCAAGCACCUCUGUGUGAAGCUCCCUGAGCACUGCUGGGGAGCUCCCCAUUCCAAUAAAGGGCAAGUUCCUCCCAUGAAGAUGUUGGCUAACAUCACUGUCCUUCAAUCCUUCAAAAACUAUAAAUUGAGUUUCCAUAUAACCCCAUAAUACCACUUCUGGGAAUAUAUCCCGAGGCAAAAAGCACAGUAGAAAUGACAUCUGCACCUGUAUGUUCAUUGCAGCACUGUUCCGAAUAGCCAGAAUCUGGAAACAACCCGAGUGGCCUAGAACAGAUGACUGGUUAAAGAAACUUUGCUACAUCUACACAAUGGAAUACUAUGCAGCUGUUAGGAGAGAUGAAGUCAUGAAAUUUGCUUAUAAGUGGAUAGACAUGGAGAAUAUCAUGCUAAGUGAAAUGAGUCAGAAAGAGAGGGACAGAUAUAGAAGGACUAUACUCAUUUGUGGAGUAUAAAAUAACAUAGCAGGAGACUGACACCCAGGGACAGUAGAUAGAAGGGUCAGGAAGAUUGCUCCAUAGUUGGAAGCCUGCCUCAUGAGCAGGUAGGGAGAGGACAGCUGGAAUAGAGAAGAGAUCACUAAAAAAAUGAUGGUUGGAGGAAUCGGUCAGAUUGGGAGAUGUGUGCUGAAACUAGAUAAAGAACCAAACAUGAUAAACUCUCAAUAUCUACAUUGCAAACCAUAGUGCCCAAAAGUAGAGAGAGAGUAUGGAAUAUUGUCUUCCAUGGAGGCAGUGGGAGGGUGGG